rnacentral:lncRNA from 1 species
CCAGCCUUGCCUGGCCAUUUUGGCCGAAGAACGAAGGACCGUUCAGAGAUUAAAUUAAAGUCUCUAUUCUGUUCUUCCCUAUUCAGUCAUUUGUAGAAUAAAUUCUAUGGCUUCAGUUUGAACACUGGAGGGGCUGGGUCUGAGCUUUUCAUUGGUUUUUCUGGUUUGAGAGGUCGGUACAGAGACGCACGCGCACAUCAGCAAAACUCGCACUUGGAACGAAGAAACACGGAACUAGGCAGGAAAAACUAUUUACUCUGAAAAACAAGUACUUUGUGGGUUUCCGUAGUGUAGUGGUUAUCACGUUCGCCUCACACGCGAAAGGUCCCCGGUUCGAAACCGGGCGGAAACACGUUUUUUUUUUUUUUUCCUCAUCUUACUACGAAAUUCUUCCAGUGUGUAUCUUUUAAAGACGCGGCUCCCCGCCUGCAGCCCCGGAAGCGCAUCCUCACCUUCCCUCGCCUUCCUGUUCCUGGCGGAGCCGGGCUCCGCUCGUCUUCUCUGUCUUAGGGCUGGUGCUGGCCCUGCCCACGCCUAGGGCUCCGGCGCGUCACGGGCCUCAGCUGGGAUUCCCGCGCCCCUCGGACGGCCACGAGACUCGGGUAAGUGCCUCACAGACUUUGUGCGCUACCCCGGAAAAUGAGGGGCGUGGUGGGGGGGGGGUCCCGCCGCCCUCCGUAUACUUAGGACCCUCCUGCCAGCUGGCCCC